AUUGAACGCUGGCGGCAUGCCUUACACAUGCAAGUCGAGCGAGCGGCGGACGGGUGAGUAACGUAUUGGAAUCUACACAGUAAAGGGGGAUAACUGCCGGAAACGGUAGCUAAUACCGCAUACUAUCCGAGGGACCCAUGUGGGAUUAGCUAGUUGGUGGGGUAAAGGCUCACCUAGGCGACGAUCGGUAGCGGGUCUGAGAGGAUGAUCCGCCACACUGGGACUGAGACACGGCCCAGACUCCUACGGGAGGCAGCAGUGGGGAAUAUUGCACAAUGGGCGCAAGCCUGAUGCAGCCAUGCCGCGUGUCUGAAGAAGGCCUUCGGGUUGUAAAGGACUUUUGGCAGGGAGGCGGUACCAGAAGAAUAAGCACCGGCUAACUCCGUGCCAGCAGCCGCGGUAAUAC
rnacentral:rRNA from 1 species